rnacentral:rRNA from 1 species
GACAGAGGGUGCAAACGUUGUUCGGAAUUACUGGGCGUAAAGCGCGUGUAGGCGGCCCUGCAAGUCGGAUGUGAAAUCCCACGGCUCAACCGUGGAAGUGCAUUCGAAACUGCAGGGCUAGAGUCCUGGAGAGGAAGGUGGAAUGCUUGGUGUAGAGGUGAAAUUCGUAGAUAUCAAGCGGAACACCGGUGGCGAAGGCGGCCUUCUGGACAGUGACUGACGCUGAGACGCGAAAGCGGUGGGGAGCAAACAGG